GACGAACGCUGGCGGCGUGCUUAACACAUGCAAGUCGAACGGUGAAGCGCCUUCCUUUUUGGUGGGUGUGGAUGAGUGGCGAACGGGUGAGUAACACGUGAGUAACCUGCCCCCUUCUUCUGGAUAACCGCAUGAAAGAGUGGCUAAUACGGGAUAUUCUGGGUCUGUCGCAUGAUGGGUCUGGGAAAGAUAUUGUUUCGGUGGGGGAUGGGCUCGCGGCCUAUCAGCUUGUUGGUGGGGUGAUGGCCUACCAAGGCGGUGACGGGUAGCCGGCCUGAGAGGGUGGACGGUCACACUGGGACUGAGACACGGCCCAGACUCCUACGGGAGGCAGCAGUGGGGAAUAUUGCACAAUGGGCGCAAGCCUGAUGCAGCGACGCCGCGUGAGGGAUGGAGGCCUUCGGGUUGUGAACCUCUUUCGCCAGUGAAGCAGGCCUGCCUCGUUUGUGGGUGGGUUGACGGUAGCUGGAUAAGAAGCGCCGGCUAACUACGUG
rnacentral:rRNA from 1 species